CUGCUGCCUCCCGUAGGAGUUUGGACCGUGUCUCAGUUCCAAUGUGGGGGACCUUCCUCUCAGAACCCCUACGCAUCGUCGCCUUGGUGGGCCGUUACCCCGCCAACAAGCUAAUGCGACGCAUGACCAUCCGUAGCCGGAAUCGCUUCCUUUAAACCCACAGAGAUGCCUCCAUGGGUUGUUACGCGGUAUUAGACGGAAUUUCUUCCGCUUAUCCCCCUGCUACGGGCAGGUUUCAUACGUGUUACUCACCCGUGCGCCGGUCGCCGGCGGGAG
rnacentral:rRNA from 1 species